AACGUAGGUGGCGAGCGUUAUCCGGAUUUACUGGGCGUAAAGCGUGUGCAGGCGGGGUGACAAGUGGGGUAUGAAAUCUCCGGGCUAAACCUGGAGGGGUUAUGCCAGACUGUCAUUCUAGAGUGCGAGAGAGGGGCGUGGAAUUCCGGGUGUAGUGGUGAAAUGCGUAGAUAUUGGGAAGAACACCGGUGGCGAAGGCGGCGACCUGGUCCGAUACUGACGCUGAGGCGCGAAAGCGUGGGGAGCGAACAGG
rnacentral:rRNA from 1 species